UACCUUUUCGUCCAUAAAUAAAUUAAAAACAUAAUGUAUAACUGUAAAGUUUAAAUUUUAAAUUAUUAUUAUUUUUUUUUUUUUUACUUUCACUAUUGUAUGUUUCUCCUAUUCAAUACUAGUUUAUUCUUCACGUGUAUAUAAUGCUCUUUUAAUGCGGUGUGAAAAUAUAUGUUCUUGAAUAUAUUUAUUUAAUAACAUACGUAUAUAAGUGCACAUGCUAUAUAUAUAUUUUUCCCAUUUAAUUUUAUAUUUGUUAUAAAUUUUUUAUCGAAACAUUAUAUUUGUUGAAGCGUAAAAUAAAAAACUAUGACUAACAACAUAUUGUUAAAUCAGUUCAAAGAAAAUUCUUUUAAGUAUAUGAACACACUUUUUCAAAUUAAUACAAAAUUCGAAUAACCAUAACUCCUUACAAUAUAAAAAAAUUAAAUAAAACCAAUAAAUAAAUAAAAUAAAAAAAAAAAAAAGAGAAAAUGGGAACGGAAAAAAAUAAAUAUGACUCAAAUAAAACAGAUAAUUUGUCUAUGCACCAGAAAUUUGAUCAAUUAAUUGAUGAUUAUUUUCCCGAUUUAAAAGACGAAAAAGAAGAGAAAAUAGAAAGAUGUCCAAAAACGGGUGAUUAUGUAUUUAAGAAAAUAAAUA